UGGUGGAGACCCUGUGAGAUCCGAAGAAGUGACCUGGAGCAGAGACCUGAAGCAUGAGAAAGAGCCGGUGUGUGAAUACCUGGGAAGGAGAGUAUGACCUGUGACGAGACCAGCCAAACAUUCCCCAGCCUCAGCCACUGCUCCAGAGCUGAGUGUCACUGCCCAACACCACCUCUGCAUUCCUAACUCCAUGUGUGCGUCUGCUUCUGGAGACACCAACCUGCAACAUACCUUUUGAUUUUCAAAAGGCUGACAGUUACCUGGGACAACUUAAAGGAACUUCACAAAAUCUAUUCCUGAGAGAUGACCAGAGCCACCCUUGUGCCACCUUUGUCUUCCAUGGUGUAGAGAUGUUCCUGGGAAGCAGCUUAACCAGCCAGGGAUAGCGUUUCCCAGCCUCCCUUGCAGUAAGUUGAAGCCAGGUGACUUGAGUUCUUCCCGGUGGAAUGUGAGAAGAUAGAUGCACUCUGCUUCCAGACCCUGGCACACCACACCUCUGGGCUCUCAUUUUCUGCCUCAGCUGGCUGGGUGUGGA